AUUGAACGCUGGCGGCAUGCUUUACACAUGCAAGUCGGACGGUAACAGGGAGCUUGCUCCGCUGACGAGUGGCGAACGGGUGAGUAAUGCGUCGGAACGUGCCGAGUAGUGGGGGAUAACGCAUCGAAAGGUGUGCUAAUACCGCAUACGAACUGAGGUUGAAAGUGGGGGACCUUCGGGCCUCACGCUAUUCGAGCGGCCGACGUCUGAUUAGCUAGUUGGUGAAGUAAAGGCUCACCAAGGCGACGAUCAGUAGCGGGUCUGAGAGGAUGAUCCGCCACACUGAGACUGAGAAACGGCCCAGACUCCUACGGGAGGCAGCAGUGGGGAAUUUUGGACAAUGGGCGCAAGCCUGAUCCAGCCAUGCCGCGUGUCUGAAGAAGGCCUUCGGGUUGUAAAGGACUUUUGUCCGGGAGCAAAUGCUGGUGGCUAACAUCCACCGGAGCUGAGAGUACCGGAAGAAUAAGCACCGGCUAACUACGUGCCAGCAGCCGCCGUAAUAC
rnacentral:rRNA from 1 species